CCUACGGGGGGCGGCAGUGGGGAAUAUUGGACAAUGGGGGGAACCCUGAUCCAGCCAUGCCGCGUGUGUGAAGAAGGCCCUCGGGUUGUAAAGCACUUUCAGUGAGGAAGAACGCCUGGUGGUUAAUACCCAUCAGGAAAGACAUCACUCACAGAAGAAGCACCGGCUAACUCCGUGCCAGCAGCCGCGGUAAUACGGAGGGUGCGAGCGUUAAUCGGAAUUACUGGGCGUAAAGCGCGCGUAGGUGGCUUGAUAAGCCGGUUGUGAAAGCCCCGGGCUCAACCUGGGAACGGCAUCCGGAACUGUCAAGCUAGAGUGCAGGAGAGGAAGGUAGAAUUCCCGGUGUAGCGGUGAAAUGCGUAGAGAUCGGGAGGAAUACCAGUGGCGAAGGCGGCCUUCUGGACUGACACUGACACUGAGGUGCGAAAGCGUGGGUAGCAAACAGGAUUAGAUACCCCAGUAGUC
rnacentral:rRNA from 1 species